rnacentral:rRNA from 1 species
UACGUAGGGUGCGAGCGUUAAUCGGAAUUACUGGGCGUAAAGCGUGCGUAGGCGGUUCGCUGUGUCCGAUGUGAAAGCCCCGGGCUUAACCUGGGAAUGGCAUUGGAAACUAGCGGGCUUGAGUUCGGGAGAGGGAAGCGGAAUUCCGGGUGUAGCGGUGAAAUGCGUAGAUAUCCGGAGGAACACCGGUGGCGAAGGCGGCUUCCUGGACCGACACUGACGCUGAGGCGCGAAAGCUAGGGGAGCAAACGGG